AAUACAGCAUUUGUAACACUGUAAUGCUACUAAAUACUGUCAUGACACAGUAACAGUUUCAAGUUAUACAUUGUACCAGUACAGCAUUGACAACAAGAUAUUCUCAAAAUUUCAAUGAAAAGCCUUUUUGUACAAAGUGCUGGGCAUUUGCAUAAAAAUUGAACUUUGUUAUAAUCAAUUGAAAUGUAUAUAUUUCUGUUUCAUACUGUUGGAAUUGUGAAAUCCCUCCAAAUUAUCAAGAAGAAUUAUUGAGCCCGAGGUUUGCGUUAUCAACCGCAGCCAAAUGAAUUGGUCAAUAACACAAACUGAUGGCUUGAUAGCUAAUGCUUCAUAUCUUGCAAAUACCAAUAUUUGUUGUGUUUUAUUUAAAGGAUGAAAAGAUGUCUGCAUCUGUGGAUUAAGGAUUACAUG